UUUGCACAAUGGNCGAAAGCCUGNUGCAGCAACGCCGCGUGCGCGAAGAAGGUCUUCGGAUCGUAAAGCGCUUUUCUGGGAGAUGAGAAAGGACAGUAUCCCAGGAAUAAGUCUCGGCUAACUACGUGCCAGCAGCCGCGGUAAAACGUAGGAGGCGAGCGUUAUCCGGAUUCACNUGGGCGUAAAGCGCGUGCAGGCGGUUUGGUAAGUUGGGCGUGAAAGCUCCCGGCUCAACUGGGAGAGGUCGUCCAAAACUACCAGACUAGAGAGCGAUAGAGGAAAAUGGAAUUCCCGGUGUAGUGGUGAAAUGCGUAGAUAUCGGGAGGAACACCAGUGGCGAAGGCGAUUUUCUGGAUCGUUUCUGACGCUCAGACGCGAAAGCUAGGGUAGCAAACGGGAUUAGAGACCCCGGUAGUCCUAGCUGUAAACGAUGUGAACUUGGCGUUGGUGGGUUAAACUCCAUCAGUGCCGUAGCUAACGCGAUAAGUUCACCGCCUGGGGACUACGGCCGCAAGGUUAAAACUCAAAGAAAUUGACGGA
rnacentral:rRNA from 1 species